GGCGUGCUUAACACAUGCAAGUCGAGCGGUAAGGCCCUUCGGGGUACAUGAGCGGCGAACGGGUGAGUAACACGUGGGUGAUCUGCCCUGCACUUCGGGAUAAGCCUGGGAAACUGGGUCUAAUACCGGAUAUGACCUUCGGCUGCAUGGCUAAGGGUGGAAAGGUUUACUGGUGCAGGAUGGGCCCGCGGCCUAUCAGCUUGUUGGUGGGGUAAUGGCCUACCAAGGCGACGACGGGUAGCCGACCUGAGAGGGUGACCGGCCACACUGGGACUGAGACACGGCCCAGACUCCUACGGGAGGCAGCAGUGGGGAAUAUUGCACAAUGGGCGAAAGCCUGAUGCAGCGACGCCGCGUGAGGGAUGACGGCCUUCGGGUUGUAAACCUCUUUCAGCAGGGACGAAGCGAGAGUGACGGUACCUGCAGAAGAAGCACCGGCCAACUACGUGCCAGCAGCCGCGGUAAUACGUAGGGUGCAAGCGUUGUCCGGAAUUACUGGGCGUAAAGAGCUCGUAGGCGGUUUGUCGCGUCGUCUGUGAAAACUCGAGGCUCAACCUCGAGCUUGCAGGCGAUACGGGCAGACUUGAGUACUGCAGGGGAGACUGGAAUUCCUGGUGUAGCGGUGAAAUGCGCAGAUAUCAGGAGGAACACCGGUGGCGAAGGCGGGUCUCUGGGCAGUAACUGACGCUGAGGAGCGAAAGCGUGGGUAGCGAACAGGAUAGAUA
rnacentral:rRNA from 1 species